rnacentral:rRNA from 1 species
UUCCAGACUCCUACGGGAGGCAGCAGUGAGGAAUAUUGGUCAAUGGCCGCAGGGCUGAACCAGCCAAGUCGCGUGAGGGAAGACGGUCCUAUGGAUUGUAAACCUCUUUUGUCGGGGAGCAACGAGGCCACGUGUGGCCGAAGUGAGAGUACCCGAAGAAAAAGCAUCGGCUAACUCCGUGCCAGCAGCCGCGGUAAUACGGAGGAUGCGAGCGUUAUCCGGAUUUAUUGGGUUUAAAGGGUGCGCAGGCGGCCUGUUAAGUCGGGGGUAAACGCCCGGGGCUCACCCCGGGCGAGCCGUUGAAACUGGCGGGCUGGAGUUGGAGAGAAGUACGCGGAAUGCGCGGUGUAGCGGUGAAAUGCUUAGAUAUCGCGCAGAACCCCGAUUGCGAAGGCAGCGUACCGGCUCCACACUGACGCUGAGGCACGAAAGCGUGGGUAUCGAACAGGAUUAGAUACCCGCGUA